GUCGCUGUAGCACUGAAAGAUAAUACUUUAUGCGUAUCGGAGCCGAAAUCGUUGCGCAGGCAGAUGUCAAAUUUCAUGACGAGUACCUAAUGACAGGGUGACCAGCGCACCGGGAAAUCGGGAAAACCGGGAAAUAUACGGAAAUUUAAAUACACCGGGAAAAAAACGGGAAAUAUACGGGAAUUCUAACGACCACCGGGAAAUAAAGCUUUUCCUUAGACAAAGCGCCUAACAUUUGAGAAUCUUGGGUGUGAAUAUGCAAAAGAGUAUUUUUUUUAUUUGCAUUUACACAAUUUGAUCGAAUUUCAUAAAAUGUUCGACUUCAAAGCAAAACCCUUUCUAAAAGUUCCAUUUCCAUUUGUUCCUGUUUACGUCUUCUAUGUAUAAAUGUCAAUAUUUACUCUCCACAGUGUUUCGAGCUAAAAUUUAAGAAACUGGUCGUCUCCUUAAUUCCUUUUUGUUCUUAUGCAUUGACGGAAUAGACAAAUGCAAUCGUAAACAGCAAGGAAAGGAAGAGGUGAUUAGUCAACCAGUGCUAUAGCAGAAAAAGUGGAUUCUUUUUCGUUGCAGUUCGAAGUGAUUCUGUUUUGAAAAACAAUUGUUCUAAAAAGUAGCCAUAAUGUCCACGACAUUUUCUUCCAAAUACAAGGAGUUGUUUCCAUGGUGUGCCGCUGAUGCGCAGGACAAAAAAUCAGCUAAAUGCGAAUGGUGUAAAAAAUCCUUCAAGAUCGAUACUAUGGGGAAAAUGGCAUUUUCGAGCCAUGAAAAGGGCAAAAAACAUCAACAAGAAGUAAAUGUUCGGCGUACUGUCCUACCAAUGAGUUCGUUUGCUGUUGUUAGCGGCAGUAAACCAUCAGUAGUUGACAGUGGUGCUAAACCGUCGCCAGAUCUCACCCCUUGCUCCAGCGCUACCGACACCGGUUCAGGUUUGAUGAAAAAAUACCUUUU